AACGAUUUCCCGAUUUUCUUUAGGUUCUCAAAGACUUGGGAAUUUGUGAGAUUCAAGGAUCUUUAGGGGACUUAAGGGCAAUGGACUUCAAAGUUCAUUUAAACCUAACUUUGGAUUCCAAAACGAUAUCAAAAGUGGCUGUGGAUUUCAAACCCGAAUUAAAUUCAAUUAAUGGACACAUGUCAUCAUAUGGAUGGAGACACAUGGGUAGAAAUGAUUACAUGGACACGUGGCGUAAUUUGGAUGGAAAAUUAAAAGUAAUAAUUAAACACCAAUCUCGAGGGACACGUGGCACCGUAGGAUGGAAGCAAUGAUGAAGGCUCACAUCUUGAGGGACACAUGUCGUAGUAGGAAGAAAGUAAUAAUGAAAGCUCAUAUCUCGAGGACACGUGGCGCCGUAGGAUGAAAGCAAUCAUUACGGCUCAAAUCUCCAUAACAUGUGGCGAAAAUUCAUUCGUUAAAGGGUUAAAAAUGUCAUGAUAAGGCUCAUAUCUCAAGAGCCACUUGUCACCAUGGGAAGAAAGCAAUAAUUAGGGUGUAAAUCUCAAGUGCCAAGUGUCACCAUCUUAGAAAGCCAAGUGUCACAAUCCUAUGGAUUUAAGGGCACUAUAUAAGAAUGCCUUGGGUUGGGUUUUUGGCCACCAAAUUAAGGGGGUAAGUUGCUUAUAAAGGAGGGGAAACUCUGCUGUAAAGAAGGGAAGGAAACCCUGCCCGAGUAGGAGCCAAAAGCAAGCCGUUGGAAGGCACGAGCCCCUUGAAAUCCGUGCAAAACAGUAACCAAAACUGCAAGGUUUGGAUACAAAAAGGUCUCGGUUUUUAUAGAACAGUCCACUUGGAGCGACGUUUGGCCGUGAAUUUGUGCAACCAAGAAGUGGGAAGCUUCGAUCUGUCAGGCUCGGGCUCAAAGGGAGAAGGCCUAGAGGCGGCGCGAGUGUAGUUAUCUUGUUUAGGCGUCUCUUAUGAUGUUGUAGUAUGUUACAAGAUUUGUACUCUUAACUUUGACAAUAUUUUGUCUCGUGGAGAAUGAAGUCUACUUUCCCUGCUAUCUUGAUAAAUUGUGUGUGUGAAUGUUUAUUUUAUGGAAGUCCCAACAUUUCAGGUUACGAUCCUUACUGUAGUAUAUGGGAUUUCCUUAACGCCCGUGUA